rnacentral:tRNA from 1 species
GGCGUGGUGGUGAAAAGGAAUAACACACGGGCCUUUCACGUCCGGAUGUGCGGGUUCGAGUCCCGUCCACGUCUCCA